ensembl:lncRNA
CUCAUGCAAAGCUUGUGUCAGGGUGACUGUCUCAGACAUGAUUCUUUCCUACAAGCUUAAAGUUUCCUAAUUCACAGCAUGAAAGGUGAUAUUGUUUCCCAGAGGUCUCAGAAGAUUCAGGGCCAAAAUCUUCUUCCCAAACUGAAUUAUAAAGUAUUCACUUGCACUUAAGAGAACAGCAGAGGAGAGGGCUUGAUGGAGGAGGUAAGUGGGAGAGCUGAACAAGACAUGAUCAGGAGGCCGUGACAUCAGGAAUAAAAAGCUUUAUUGUACAGAGGAAGCAGCUUCAUAACUGGACUCCAACACCAAGUCCCCCAAAGAUCUGUGUCCGAGAGGGAAUCAGGCUAGUGAACAUUAGAGGUUAAACCUCAAGACCUCACAGCCAUGGACUGGACAUGGGUGGGACGAAGAGGGAAACCCAGAACAUUUCAGAAGCCCUUCCAUCCUUGCCUUCUGUUCUUCCAAAUGGAGGAAGAGAAGUCUCAGGCUGGGUGGGUCUUCGGCACUUUGGCUCCUCCAGUGCUGUUCUUCAGUGAUCCUUGGGGACCGGGGUCAGCAGCAGCCCCCGGAGCAGCAGCUGGAGUCCCCAGAGCUGUGGUGUCGGUGUCGAAGAGAUCGGCGGGGCCUGUGGUGGCUCAGGCAGCAGCCCCCACCCCCGGAGCUGCAGCAGCCCCCACCCCCGGAGCUGCAGCAGCCCCCGCCCCCGGAGCUGCAGCAGCCCCCGCCCCCGGAGCUGGAGCCACAGCAGGAAACUGGAGGUAGGCAAGGGGCUGGACACUUAGGGGGGCAUUUGGGGGGGCACUUGGGAGGGCACUUGGGGGGGCACUUGGGGGGGCACUUGGGAGGGGGCUGGCACUGCUGCUGGUUCUGCUGGCAGGACAUCUUGGCAGGAACUGAAUGAGGCUGAAAAACAAUAUGUCAUUUCAAGUUCAACCAGCCCAAGGUAACUUCCCCACAUUUAAAACUGAACUAUGAAUUCAGGAAAUUCCAUCUUUAUGAUGAUCACAUUUUUAAACCCAAUCUCCCAAAAUCAAUUAUAAGAAAUAUGCAAAAAGGUUUCAACCUGAGAACUCCAUAAUUUCAAAAUGAAUUCCUUAUAGUUUCAAAAAGACACCAAUCUUUCUUUCCCUUCCCUUACCUUCCACCCUCCCUCUCCAACAGAAUCCUCCCAUCCAAAUCCUCUUUUCUCCUUGUCUUUCUGAAGACUGUCCUCAGCCUCCACCAAGGGCUAUACUCUGCCUGAAACACCAGCACCAAGAGUCCCUCCUGGUCCUCAAGAUGCAUUUUACCUGGCUCAAGCACUGGAGAUCACCCAGGAUUCAGGUGGACUGAGGUGCUGUUAGAAGCUUCCACCUUUUAUAUAGGUUCAGCUCUGACCUGGUAUCAGGAGGUGUGGACCAAGUGCGGGAUGCUAAUAGUAUCUUUCACAAGGGGCACGUGUGACUACCCUCCCUUCACAUCCCAGGGACCCAAGUCCUCCCUCCGUAAGCAUGUCAACUAUUACCUUGUCGGGAAGCUCCCCUGAGAAUUGCAGGCCACUAGGAUAGUGAUGGUGCUUUGUGGAUUGCACACCACAUGUUAGCCUCACAGGCAGCUCUGCUAUGCUCCCUGUUUCCUGAGCUGGGUCAGUGGACUUCUAGACCUCAGGGAUGAAGAGAAGGUCUCUCUUCUCUUUGGUUUGAAAAUGGAAGGAAAAAUUCCCAAGAUGGAAAUCAAAUAGCUCUUUUUAGAAUAAGAUUUAGAGAUCCAGAAUAAAAUGCCAGGCCCAAGCCA